rnacentral:ncRNA from 1 species
UUCGCAAGAAGGGCGGGACAGCUGCUGCAUGGCUGUCGUCAGCUCGUGCCGUGGGGUGUUCCCUUAAGUGGGAGAACGAGCGCAACCCGUAUCCAAUGUUAUAUGUUUCAUUGGAGACUGCUCUGAUAAUCAUCAGGGAGGAAGGAACGGACGACGUCAAGUCAGCACGGCGCUUAUGCCUUGGGUCACACACACCCUACAAUGGCGAAAAACAAUGGGACGCUAGGCCGCAAGGUCAUGCAAAUCCCCUAUAAAUUUCGCCUCAGUUCAGAUUGGGGUCUGCAACCCGACCCCAUGAAGUCGGAAUCGGUAGUAAUCGCAGAUCAGCAGGCUGCGGUGAAUACGUUCUCGGGUCUUGUACACACCGCCCGUCAAGCCAACAAAGUUGGAGGUGCCUGAAGUCCCGCUUAAGCGGGACCAAGGCAAAUUCAGCGAUGGGGACUAAGUCGUAAAUUGUUGCGACCUACGUGCCGCAAGGUCGUAGAAAAAUCCAACUAU